GCAGGAUUUUUAAUAAUCCUCAGUUUAAAUUAUUUUAGUGGAAUAAAGUCUAGUAGUCAUUUAAGUGAAGAAACAUGAAUCCCAGGAUCAACACUAGAGUUUUACUGAUAUGUAAAUGAAUAAAACAGUACCUAAUUUGGUCACUUCAAUUGAAGCCCAACAACAGUUUUUCUUUGAUGCCUUUUUCAGAAGACCAAAUCUCCAGGAUUGUGAAUCAAUCAGAGAAUGUUUAGAAGCUGGGCAGAGAAAUCGAGCUGCAAAAUGACCUACAGAUAUUACAGUUUUAUUCUUGGAAAAUGGAGGUUGU
rnacentral:lncRNA from 1 species